GAUGAACGCUGGCGGCGUGUCUAACACAUGCAAGUCGAACGGACAUUUUUUGGAAAGUUCUUCGGAACCGGAAUCUAAAUGUUAGUGGCGGACGGGUGAGUAACGCGUGAGCAAUCUGCCUUUCAGAGGGGGAUAACAGCCGGAAACGGCUGCUAAUACCGCAUAAUGCAUUGGAUUCGCAUGUUUCUGAUGCCAAAGAUUUUAUCGCUGAAAGAUGAGCUCGCGUCUGAUUAGCUAGUUGGCGGGGUAACGGCCCACCAAGGCGACGAUCAGUAGCCGGACUGAGAGGUUGAACGGCCACAUUGGGACUGAGACACGGCCCAGACUCCUACGGGAGGCAGCAGUGGGGAAUAUUGCGCAAUGGGGGCAACCCUGACGCAGCAACGCCGCGUGAUUGAUGAAGGUCUUCGGAUUGUAAAAAUCUUUAAUCAGGGACGAAGAAAAUGACGGUACCUGAAGAAUAAGCUCCGGCUAACUACGUGCCAGCAGCCGCGGUAAUACGUAGGGAGCAAGCGUUAUCCGGAUUUACUGGGUGUAAAGGGCGUGUAGGCGGGCUUGCAAGUUGGAAGUGAAAUCUCGGGGCUUAACCCCGAAACUGCUUUCAAAACUGCGAGUCUUGAGUGAUGGAGAGGCA
rnacentral:rRNA from 1 species